rnacentral:rRNA from 1 species
AUUGAACGCUGGCGGCAUGCCUUACACAUGCAAGUCGAACGGCAGCACGGGAGCUUGCUCCUGGUGGCGAGUGGCGAACGGGUGAGUAAUAUAUCGGAACGUGCCCAGUAGUGGGGGAUAGCCCGGCGAAAGCCGGAUUAAUACCGCAUACGAUCUACGGAUGAAAGCGGGGGAUCGCAAGACCGCGCGCUAUUGGAGCGGCCGAUAUCUGAUUAGCUAGUUGGUGAGGUAAAAGCUCACCAAGGCUACGAUCAGUAGCUGGUCUGAGAGGACGACCAGCCACACUGGAACUGAGACACGGUCCAGACUCCUACGGGAGGCAGCAGUGGGGAAUUUUGGACAAUGGGGGAAACUCUGAUCCAGCAAUGCCGCGUGAGUGAAGAAGGCCUUCGGGUUGUAAAGCUCUUUUGUCAGGGAAGAAACGGUAGAGGCUAAUAUCCUUUGCUAAUGACGGUACCUGAAGAAUAAGCACCGGCUAACUACGUGCCAGCCGCCGCCGUAACAC